rnacentral:rRNA from 1 species
UACGAAGGGGGCUAGCGUUGCUCGGAAUCACUGGGCUUAAAGGGCGCGUAGGCGGGCGGCCGAGUCCGGGGUGAAAGCCCCCAGCUCAACUGGGGAAGUGCCUCGGAUACUGGUCGCCUCGAGGGAGAUAGGGGCGUGCGGAACUUCCGGUGGAGCGGUGAAAUGCGUAGAUAUCGGAAGGAACACCGGUGGCGAAAGCGGCGCGCUGGAUCUCUUCUGACGCUGAGGCGCGAAAGCCAGGGGAGCGAACGGG